rnacentral:rRNA from 1 species
UGAACUGCGAAUGGCUCAUUACACCAGCCUUAAUUUACUUGACCUUGACACCCUACUUGGAUAACUGUGGUAAUUCUAGAGCUAAUACAUGCACCAAAGCUCCAAUCUACCCAGAGCGGAGCGCAUUUGUUCGCCACAAAACCAAGCGCCUCAGGGCAUUCAGUGUUGACUCAGAACAACUAAGCUGAUCGCACGGUCUUGCACCGGCGACGUGUCUUUCAAGUGUCUGCCUUAUCAACUUUCGAUGGUAGUGUAUCUGACUACCAUGGUGAUGACGGGUAACGGAGGAUAAGGGUUCGACUCCGGAGAAGGGGCCUGAGAAAUGGCCACUACGUCUAAGGAUGGCAGCAGGGCGCAAAUUACCCACUCUCGACGCGAGGAGGUAGUGACGAGAAAUAACGAGACCGUUCUCAUCUGAGGCCGGUCAUCGGAAUGGGUACAAUUUAAACCCUUUAACGAGUAUCUAUGAGAGGGCAAGUCUGGUGCCAGCAGCCGCGGUAAUUCCAGCUCUCAAAAUGCAUAGAAUUAUUGCUGCAGUUAAAAAGCUCGUAGUUGGAUCUGUGCUGAGCGACCGGUCUGCCCACUGGGCACGCACUGGCUCGCCCGGCUUUCCCUGCCGGUCUCUCUCUGACGUUGGUUUUAACCGGCUGGCGUCAGUGGGCUGGCGAGUUUACUUUGAACAAAUCAAGUGCUUCAAACAGGCGUCUCGCCUGAAUGUUCGUGCAUGGAAUAAUAGAAGAGGAUCACGGUCCGAUUUUAUUGGUUUUGCUGACCGAGAUAAUGGUUAACAGAGACAAACGGGGCCAUUCGUAUUGCUACGUGAGAGGUGAAAUUCUUGGACCGUAGCAAGACGGACUACAGCGAAAGCAUUUGGCAAGAAUGUCUUCAUUAAUCAAGAACGAAAGUCAGAGGUUCGAAGGCGAUCAGAUACCGCCCUAGUUCUGACCGUAAACGAUGCCAACUAGCGAUCCGCCGGCGGAUUCAUUCGCCCUGGUGGGGAGCUUCCCGGAAACGAAAGUCUUCCGGUUCCGGGGGAAGUAUGGUUGCAAAGCUGAAACUUAAAGGAAUUGACGGAAGGGCACCACCAGGAGUGGAGCCUGCGGCUUAAUUUGACUCAACACGGGGAAACUCACCCGGCCCGGACACCGUAAGGAUUGACAGAUUGAUAGCUUUUUCAUGAUUCGGUGGAUGGUGGUGCAUGGCCGUUCUUAGUUCAUGGAGCGAUUUGUCUGGUUUAUUCCGAUAACGAGCGAGACUCUGGCCUACUAAAUAGUUGGCACAUUGCCACUGUGUGCACAACUUCUUAGAGGGAUUUUCGGUGUUCAGCCGCACGAAAUUGAGCAAUAACAGGUCUGUGAUGCCCUUAGAUGUCCGGGGCUGCACGCGCGCUACACUGGCAAAAUCAGCGUGCUUGUCCUCCCCCGAAAGGGGUUGGUAAACCGAUGAAAAUUUGCCGUGAUUGGGAUCGGACAUUGCAAUUAUUGUCCGUGAACGAGGAAUCCCUUGUAAGGGCGAGUCAUCAACUCGUCCUGAAUACGUCCCUGCCCUUUGUACACACCGCCCGUCGCUGCCCGGGACUGAGCCAUUUCGAGAAAACCGGGGAUUGUUGGCCUGACGGCUCUCGGGUCGUCUAGCCGAUGAGAACCGGCUUAAUCGCACUGGUUUGAACCGGGCAAAAGUCGUAACAAGGUAGCUGUAGGUGAACCUGCAGAUGAUCA